GACGAACGCUGGCGGCGUGCUUAACACAUGCAAGUCGAACGGAAAGGCCUCUUUCGGGGGGUACUCGAGUGGCGAACGGGUGAGUAACACGUGAGUAACCUGCCCUUGACUUUGGGAUAACUUCAGGAAACUGGGGCUAAUACCGGAUAGGAGCUCCUGCUGCAUUGUGGGGGUUGGAAAGUUUCGGCGGUUGGGGAUUGACUCGCGGCUUAUCAGCUUGUUGGUGGGGUAGUGGCUUACCAAGGCUUUUACGGGUAGCCGGCCUGAGAGGGUGACCGGCCACAUUGGGGCUGAGAUACGGCCCAGACUGCUACGGGAGGCAGCAGGGGGGAAUAUUGCACAAUGGGUGGAAGCAUGAUGCAGCAACGCCGUGUGCGGGAUGACGGCCUUCGGGUUGUAAACCGCUUUCGCUCAUGACGAAGGUUUGUGUGACGGUAGUGGGUAAAGAAGCACCGGCUAACUACGUG
rnacentral:rRNA from 1 species